UAAUACGUAGGGUGCGAGCGUUAAUCGGAAUUACUGGGCGUAAAGCGUGCGCAGGCGGUUGUGUAAGACAGGUGUGAAAUCCCCGGGCUUAGCCUGGGAACUGCGCUUGUGACUGCACAGCUAGAGUAUGGCAGAGGGGGGUGGAAUUCCACGUGUAGCAGUGAAAUGCGUAGAGAUGUGGAGGAACACCGAUGGCGAAGGCAGCCCCCUGGGCCAAUACUGACGCUCAUGCACGAAAAGCGUGGGGAGCAAACAGGAUUAGAUACCCUGGUAGUCCACGCCCUAAACGAUGUCGACUAGGUGUUCGGUGAGGAGACUCAUUGAGUACCGCAGCUAACGCGUGAAGUCGACCGCCUGGGGAGUACGGUCGCAAGAUUAAAACUCAAAGGAAUUGACGGGGACCCGCACAAGCGGUGGAUGAUGUGGAUUAAUUCGAUGCAACGCGAAAAACCUUACCUACCCUUGACAUGUACGGAACCCUGCUGAGAGGUGGGGGUGCUCGAAA
rnacentral:rRNA from 1 species